UUUCCGUAGGUGAACCUGCGGAAGGAUCAUUACCGAGUGCGGGUCCUUUGGGCCCAACCUCCCAUCCGUGUCUAUUAUACCCUGUUGCUUCGGCGGGCCCGCCGCUUGUCGGCCGCCGGGGGGGCGCCUUUGCCCCCCGGGCCCGUGCCCGCCGGAGACCCCAACACGAACACUGUCUGAAAGCGUGCAGUCUGAGUUGAUUGAAUGCAAUCAGUUAAAACUUUCAACAAUGGAUCUCUUGGUUCCG
rnacentral:misc_RNA from 1 species